rnacentral:tRNA from 1 species
GGCUCGGUAGCUCAAUAGCGUAGAGCGGCUGGCUUUCAAUCCACGCGGUUGUGGGUUCGAAUCCCACCCGAGUCUCCA